GCUCGUGUCGUGAGAUGUUGGGUUAAGUCCCGCAACGAGCGCAACCCUUAUUGUUAGUUGCUACCAUUUAGUUGAGCACUCUAGCGAGACUGCCCGGGUUAACCGGGAGGAAGGUGGGGAUGACGUCAAAUCAUCAUGCCCCUUAUGUCUAGGGCUACACACGUGCUACAAUGGUCGGUACAAUGAGAUGCAACCUCGCGAGAGUGAGCAAAACUAUAAAACCGAUCUCAGUUCGAAUUGUAGGCUGAAACUCGCCUACAUGAAGCUGGAGUUGCUAGUAAUCGCGAAUCAGAAUGUCGCGGUGAAUACGUUCCCGGGCCUUGUACACACCGCCCGUCACACCAUGAGAGUUGGCAAUACCCAAAGUUCGUGAGCUAACCGCAAGGAGGCAGCGACCUAAGGUAGGGUCAGCGAUUGGGGUGAAGUCGUAACAAGGUAGCCGUAGGAGAACCUGCGGUUGGAUCACCUC
rnacentral:rRNA from 1 species